UAUAGAUUUCAUUUAACUUAACCUCUGGCAUAUUCCAAUUAAUUAAUUUAUUUUCUAAUUCUUGAACUUCUAAUUCUUGAUUUUGAAAAGUAUCUUGGUUUAAUGUGGGUUCAGUACUUGAGGAAGUAGGUGGAACUAAAGUUCUGUUAGAUCUACUGCUUCUACCACUAACCCUGCUCCAAGCCCUAUCCAGUAACCGAGACAUCUUUGAAUUAAUUUCACUUUAAAUUUUCAACUGUUUCGCUUUAAAAUAAAACUCUUUAAACUUUAAGCUUUAAUCUUACUGUGUGAGUCUCUCCUCCCCCUUAUUUUUGUUUGAGUUUCUAAGAAAAAUACAACUAGGCUAAACCAACGGUUUCACUGCCCUAUCUGCGGGUCUUACU
rnacentral:lncRNA from 1 species